UACGAAGGGGGCUAGCGUUGCUCGGAAUCGCUGGGCGUAAAGGGUGCGUAGGCGGGUCUUUUAAGUCAGGGGUGAAAUCCUGGAGCUCAACUCCAGAACUGCCUUUGAUACUGAAGAUCUUGAGUUCGGGAGAGGUGAGUGGAACUGCGAGUGUAGAGGUGAAAUUCGUAGAUAUUCGCAAGAACACCAGUGGCGAAGGCGGCUCACUGGCCCGAUACUGACGCUGAGGCACGAAAGCGUGGGGAGCAAAGCAGGG
rnacentral:rRNA from 1 species